UACAGAGGUCUCAAGCGUUGUUCGGAUUCAUUGGGCGUAAAGGGUGCGUAGGCGGCGCGGUAAGUCGGGUGUGAAAUCUCGGAGCUUAACUCCGAAACUGCAUUCGAUACUGCCGUGCUCGAGUACUGGAGAGGGAACUGGAAUUUACGGUGUAGCAGUGAAAUGCGUAGAGAUCGUAAGGAAGGCCAGUGGCGAAGGCGAGUUCCUGGACAGUUACUGACGCUGAGGCACGAAGGCCAGGGGAGCAAACGGG
rnacentral:rRNA from 1 species